rnacentral:tRNA from 1 species
GUCCCCGUAGCUCAACUGGAUAGAGCGUUGGCCUCCGGAGCCAGAGGUUACAGGUUCGAGUCCUGUCGGGGACG